rnacentral:snRNA from 1 species
GACUUAACAAAUUUGACCCAA